GGUUAAGCGACUAAGCGUACACGGUGGAUGCCCUGGCAGUCAGAGGCGAUGAAGGACGUGCUAAUCUGCGAUAAGCGUCGGUAAGGUGAUAUGAACCGUUAUAACCGGCGAUUUCCGAAUGGGGAAACCCAGUGUGUUUCGACACACUAUCAUUAACUGAAUCCAUAGGUUAAUGAGGCGAACCGGGGGAACUGAAACAUCUAAGUACCCCGAGGAAAAGAAAUCAACCGAGAUUCCCCCAGUAGCGGCGAGCGAACGGGGAGCAGCCCAGAGCCUGAAUCAGUGUGUGUGUUAGUGGAAGCGUCUGGAAAGGCGCGCGAUACAGGGUGACAGCCCCGUACACAAAAAUGCACAUACUGUGAGCUCGAUGAGUAGGGCGGGACACGUGGUAUCCUGUCUGAAUAUGGGGGGACCAUCCUCCAAGGCU
rnacentral:rRNA from 1 species